CGAUGUAUAGGAGCUGACACCUGCCCGGUGCUGGAAGGUGAAGGGGAUCUGUUAGAGCAAUCGAAGCAGUGCACUUAAGCCCCAGUAGACGGCGGCCGUAACGAGAACGGUGAUACGGUAGCGAAAUUCCAUGGCGGGUAAGUUCCGACCCGCACGAAAGGCGUAACGAGUUGGGCACUGUCUCAACAACAGAAUCGGUGAAAUUGUAAUUCCGGUGAAGCUGCCGGAUACCUGCGACAGGACGGAAAGACCCCCUGGAGCUUUACUGUAGCUUGACAUUGGGUAUUGGUAAUACAUGUACCGGAUAGGUUGGAGGCUUUGAAACCAGGACGCCAGUUUUGGCGGAGUCAUCCUUGGGAUACCACCCUUGUCGUACUGGGACUCUAACCCUCGU
rnacentral:rRNA from 1 species